rnacentral:lncRNA from 1 species
CCGUGCCGCACCCACCAUCACCUCAGCCUGCAGGCACGAGGUCAAGCUCAUUGUAUGUGCGUGUGUGUAUGCGUGUGUGUGUGCUAACCCCACACAGGUUUCCAACUCGCGGCUCAAAUUACUGGAAAAAACACAUACACAUACAUACGCACACACACCACCUUGUAACGCAGAGCACAGCACACAACACGCGCAGGCUCAGAGGCCCC